rnacentral:rRNA from 1 species
GAUGAACGCUGGCGGCGUGCCUAAUACAUGCAAGUCGAGCGAACAGACGAGGAGCUUGCUCCUCUGACGUUAGCGGCGGACGGGUGAGUAACACGUGGAUAACCUACCUAUAAGACUGGGAUAACUUCGGGAAACCGGAGCUAAUACCGGAUAAUAUAUUGAACCGCAUGGUUCAACAGUGAAAGACGGUCUUGCUGUCACUUAUAGAUGGAUCCGCGCCGCAUUAGCUAGUUGGUAAGGUAACGGCUUACCAAGGCGACGAUGCGUAGCCGACCUGAGAGGGUGAUCGGCCACACUGGAACUGAGACACGGUCCAGACUCCUACGGGAGGCAGCAGUAGGGAAUCUUCCGCAAUGGGCGAAAGCCUGACGGAGCAACGCCGCGUGAGUGAUGAAGGUCUUCGGAUCGUAAAACUCUGUUAUUAGGGAAGAACAAAUGUGUAAGUAACUAUGCACGUCUUGACGGUACCUAAUCAGAAAGCCACGGCUAACUACGUG